rnacentral:lncRNA from 1 species
CCCGAUGCAGCUCCGGAUGGGCGAUGGGGGGUGGCGUUGUGUACUUGUCCUGAUAAGCUUCCUAGAUAGCGAGUAGUGGGGGGCAACAAUGCACAUUAGGAGAAUGUGUAACAACCCUGAUAAGCUCACUAGAUGAGAGGUGAGAGUUGUCUUGAUAAGCUCUUUGAGUGGUGGGAAUUGCCCUGAUAAUCUCUCUAGGCGAGUGGUGGGAAGUAACAUGGUUAAAUGGUUCGGAAAUGUACUUGCCUGGAGAAACUCUUGAAUAGAGUGGUGGUUGGC